rnacentral:rRNA from 1 species
GACGAACGCUGGCGGCGUGCCUAAUACAUGCAAGUCGAGCGGAUGGAAGGAAGCUUGCUUCCUAAAGUCAGCGGCGGACGGGUGAGUAACACGUGGGCAACCUGCCCCGAAGAUCGGGAUAACUUCGGGAAACCGGAGCUAAUACCGGAUAUGAUUAUUUCUCACAUGAGACGUAAUGGAAAGACGGUGUCGGCUGGCACUUAGGACUGGGCCCGCGGCGCAUUAGCUAGUUGGUGAGGUAAAGGCUCACCAAGGCGACGAUGCGUAGCCGAACUGAGAGCGUGAUCGGCCACACUGAGACUGAGCCCCGGCCCAGACUCCUACGGGAGGCAGCAGUAGGGAAUCUUCCGCAAUGGACGAAAGUCUGACGGAGCAACGCUGCGUGAGUGAAGAAGGUUUUCGGAUCGUAAAACUCUGUUGUUAGGGAAGAACAAGUACCAUAGUAACUGAUGGUACCUUGACGGUACCUAACCAGAAAGCCACGGCUAACUACGUGCCAGCCGCCGCAGUAACAC